CAUCUGCCAAUCAAUAAUACCAUUUUUCCAAUUUGGAGACUUCUCACAGUUAUUCCAAAAAUUCAAGAAUACUGAUCAUGAAGAAUUUUAUCAUUAUACAAGAAUGAUGCCUGAUAGAUUUGAUUAACUUUUGGAAAAGACAAAACCCUAUCUGUUUAAAACAUAGCAGGAGACAUUCUCAUCAGAAUUGAGACUGGCUGCCAUUCUGGAUAUCUUGUUCAGAAAGAUAGUGUAGGGUCAAAGAAGUGGUCUUUUUUUGUUGGUCAUUCAAUAUUAAUAAGAUUAUCCCUGAGAUAUGUGAUGCAAUUAUGAAAGCUCUACAGCCAAUAUAUUUACUACUCAUGACAAGAGAGGAUUGACGUAAUGUAGUUGAUGGAUUUUAUAAGAAGUAGAAUUUCCGUAAUUGUAUAAGGGUACUUGGUGUAAGAAUCUAGGCUCCAAAAACUCAAGCUGUCUCUUCAAUAGCAAGAAAUUUUUUUCAAUUGUUCUCAUGGCAAUCUGUGAUACAGAUUAUGUUUUCAAAAGGGUGGACUAUGGCGAUCCCACUUACAAAAAAUUACUCAUACUAACGGUAUUACUCCUAAUAGCUUACGGUAUGUGGAAGGUUUAUAAAUCGGGUAAUCCUUUCAGAAUUAUUGUUUCAUCUAUUAAUAAUCUGUUGUAUAAUUUUUCUCUUUUAUGCUACAUUAGAUUAAAUGUAGUAUUCUAGAGACACGCUUUCACAUAAAAAAUAGCUUCCUCUUAGUCAAACUUAAGGGGAUGCUGCACUUACAGAACGCUCAUUC